UAGGGAAUAUUGGACAAUGGGGGCAACCCUGAUCCAGCCAUGCCGCGUGAGUGAAGAAGGCCCUCGGGUUGUAAAGCUCUUUUGUCCGGAAAGAAAAGCGCGGGGUUAAUACCCCCGUGUCCUGACGGUACCGGAAGAAUAAGCACCGGCUAACUUCGUGCCAGCAGCCGCGGUAAUACGAAGGGUGCAAGCGUUACUCGGAAUUACUGGGCGUAAAGCGUGCGUAGGUGGUUGUUUAAGUCUGAUGUGAAAGCCCUGGGCUCAACCUGGGAAUGGCAUUGGAUACUGGGCAGCUAGAGUGCGGUAGAGGGUAGUGGAAUUCCCGGUGUAGCAGUGAAAUGCGUAGAGAUCGGGAGGAACAUCUGUGGCGAAGGCGACUGCCUGGACCAGCACUGACACUGAGGCACGAAAGCGUGGGGAGCAAACAGG
rnacentral:rRNA from 1 species